rnacentral:tRNA from 1 species
UAGAAACUUAGGUUACUCAAACCGAA